GUGAACGCUGGCGGUAGGCCUAACACAUGCAAGUCGAACGGCAGCACAGUAAGAGCUUGCUCUUACGGGUGGCGAGUGGCGGACGGGUGAGGAAUACAUCGGAAUCUACUUUUUCGUGGGGGAUAACGUAGGGAAACUUACGCUAAUACCGCAUACGACCUACGGGUGAAAGCAGGGGAUCUUCUUACCUUGCGCGAUUGAAUGAGCCGAUGUCGGAUUAGCUAGUUGGCGUGGUAAAGGCCCACCAAGGCGACGAUCCGUAGCUGGUCUGAGAGGAUGAUCAGCCACACUGGAACUGAGACACGGUCCAGACUCCUACGGGAGGCAGCAGUGGGGAAUAUUGGACAAAGGGCGCAAGCCUGAUCCAGCCAUACCGCGUGGGUGAAGAAGGACUUCGGGUUGUAAAGCCCUUUUGUUGGGAAAGAAAAGCAGCAGGUUAAUACCCCGCUGUUCUGACGGUACCCAAAGAAUAAGCACCGGCUAACUUCGUG
rnacentral:rRNA from 1 species